GCCGUAACUAUAACGGUCCUAAGGUAGCGAAAUUCCUUGUCGGGUAAGUUCCGACCUGCACGAAUGGCGUAAUGAUGGCCAGGCUGUCUCCACCCGAGACUCAGUGAAAUUGAACUCGCUGUGAAGAUGCAGUGUACCCGCGGCAAGACGGAAAGACCCCGUGAACCUUUACUAUAGCUUGACACUGAACAUUGAGCCUUGAUGUGUAGGAUAGGUGGGAGGCUUUGAAGUGUGGACGCCAGUCUGCAUGGAGCCGACCUUGAAAUACCACCCUUUAAUGUUUGAUGUUCUAACGUGGACCCGUAAUCCGGGUUGCGGACAGUGUCUGGUGGGUAGUUUGACUGGGGCGGUCUCCUCCUAAAGAGUAACGGAGGAGCACGAAGGUUGGCUAAUCCUGGUCGGACAUCAGGAGGUUAGUGCAAUGGCAUAAGCCAGCUUGACUGCGAGCGUGACGGCGCGAGCAGGUGCGAAAGCAGGUCAUAGUGAUCCGGUGGUUCUGAAUGGAAGGGCCAUCGCUCAACGGAUAAAAGGUACUCCGGGGAUAACAGGCUGAUACCGCCCAAGAGUUCAUAUCGACGGCGGUGUUUGGCACCUCGAUGUCGGCUCAUCACAUCCUGGGGCUGAAGUAGGUCCCAAGGGUAUGGCUGUUCGCCAUUUAAAGUGGUACGCGAGCUGGGUUUAGAACGUCGUGAGACAGUUCGGUCCCUAUCUGCCGUGGGCGCUGGAGAACUGAGGGGGGCUGCUCCUAGUACGAGAGGACCGGAGUGGACGCAUCACUGGUGUUCGGGUUGUCAUGCCAAUGGCACUGCCCGGUAGCUAAAUGCGGAAGAGAUAAGUGCUGAAAGCAUCUAAGCACGAAACUUGCCCCGAGAUGAGUUCUCCCUGAGACUUAGAGUCUCCUGAAGGAACGUUGAAGACGACGACGUUGAUAGGCCGGGUGUGUAAGCGCAGCGAUGCGUUGAGCUAACCGGUACUAAUGAACCGUGAGGCUUAACCUU
rnacentral:rRNA from 1 species